GAACUGAAGAGUUUGAUCCUGGCUCAGAUUGAACGCUGGCGGCAUGCCUUACACAUGCAAGUCGAACGGCAGCACGGGUGCUUGCACCUGGUGGCGAGUGGCGAACGGGUGAGUAAUACAUCGGAACA
rnacentral:rRNA from 4 species